rnacentral:rRNA from 1 species
UCGCUACUACCGAUUGAAUGAUUUAGUGAGUUUCACGGACCGACGCCUUAGGUAGGGUUUCUUGCUUGAGGAAUUGGAAAGUGCUGCAAACUUGACCAUUUAGAGGAAGUAA